rnacentral:rRNA from 1 species
GUGGGGAAUAUUGGACAAUGGGCGAAAGCCUGAUCCAGCCAUGCCGCGUGUGUGAAGAAGGUCUUCGGAUUGUAAAGCACUUUAAGUUGGGAGGAAGGGCAGUAAGUUAAUACCUUGCUGUUUUGACGUUACCGACAGAAUAAGCACCGGCUAACUUCGUGCCAGCAGCCGCGGUAAUACGAAGGGUGCAAGCGUUAAUCGGAAUUACUGGGCGUAAAGCGCGCGUAGGUGGUUUUGUAAGUUGGAGGUGAAAUCCCCGGGCUCAACCUGGGAACUGCCUCCUAAACUGCAUGACUAGAGUACGGUAGAGGGUAGUGGAAUUUCCUGUGUAGCGGUGAAAUGCGUAGAUAUAGGAAGGAACACCAGUGGCGAAGGCGACUACCUGGACUGAUACUGACACUGAGGUGCGAAAGCGUGGGGAGCAAACAGGAUUAGAAACCCUGGUAGUCC